ensembl:lncRNA
AUAAUAAUAAUAAUAAUAAUAAUAAUAAUAAACUUUGACUCACUCCCACACAGCUGGAUCAUCAAGUGCCUGGACGCCAUCGGGAUUAGUAAAAACGUUGGCACCUUCAUUGAAAACAUGAUGGAGCACUGGAAAACUGAACUGUUUGUUGGAAAUGAAAGAUAUGGACUUGUCAACAUCAGAAGAGGAAUUUUCCAGGGAGACUUAUUGUCCCCUCUGCUUUUCAUUAUUGCCAUGAUCCCUCUGUCAACAAUGUUACAAAAAACAAAUCUUGGCUAUCAAACAUCUAAGAAUUCUGACAAAAUUUCACAUCUGAUGUACAUGGAUGACCUGAAGCUGUAUGGGAAAACGGAAACUGAAAUCCAGUCUCUGACUAACACUGUCCGAAUUUUUAGCACUGAUAUCAACAUGGAGUUUGGCUUGGACAAAUGUUCGACAGUGGCAUUGAAGAAGGGAAAAAUCAUUGAAAGUGAGGGCAUAAAUAUGCCUAAUGGCCAAACAAUAAAGUGUCACCAGCCAGAGGCCUAUAAAUAUCUGGGCAUAUUACAGCUGGACAACAUCAAGCAUGAACAUGUGAAGACUGUGGUCAGUAAAGAAUACACACAAAGGGUCAGAAAAAUUCUCAAAAGCAAGCUCAAUGGAGGCAACACCAUCAAGGCCAUAAACACCUGGGCCAUACCUGUCAUAAGAUAUACUGCUGGCAUCAUAAACUGGACACAGAUGGAACUGGACAAUUUGGACAGAAAAACAAGAAAACUCAUGACCAUUCAUCAUUCACUGCACCCCCACAGUGAUGUUGACCGGCUAUAUCUGCCUAGAAGAUCAGGUGGCAGAGGACUCUUACAAGUCAAACAAGCAGUCAAAGAAGAAGAACAUGCCCUGGCAGAAUAUGUAAAGCAAAGUGAAGAACCUGCUUUGAUUGAAGUCAAAAAUCAGAAACUCCUCAAAGCACAGCAGACAAAAAAACAGUACAAGAAAACCACACUACAAACUAGAGCUGACAGCUGGCACAACAAAACAUUGCAUGGAAAGUUCCUUGACAAAAUUGAAGGAAAAGCUGAUAAGGAGAAGACCUGGCUCUGGCUCACGAAUGGGACCCUGAAGAAGGAGACAGAAGGCCUGAUCCUUGCAGCCCAGGAGCAAGCCAUCAGAACAAAUGCAAUCAAGGCCAAGAUCGAAAAAUCAGCUGAUGACCCAAAAUGCAGACUGUGCAAGGAAACCGACGAAACCAUUGAUCAUAUCCUCAGCUGCUGUAAGAAAAUUGCACAGACAGACUACAAACAGAGGCACAACUAUGUGGCCCAAAUGAUUCAUUGGAACUUAUGCCUCAAGUGCCACCUCCCAGCAGAAAAGAACUGGUGGGAUCACAAACCUGCAAAAGUAUUGGAAAAUGAGCACGCAAAGAUACUGUGGGACUUCCGAAUCCAGACUGACAAAGUUCUGGAACACAACACACCAGACAUCACAGUUGUGGAAAAGAAAAAGAUUUGGAUCAUUAAUGUUGCCAUCCCAGGUGACAGUCGCAUUGACGAAAAACAACAGGAAAAACUCAGUCGCUAUCAGGACCUCAAGAUUGAACUGCAAAGACUCUGGCAGAAACCAGUGCAGGUGGUCCCGGUGGUGAUGAGCACAUUGGGUGCCAUGCCAAAAGAUCUCAGCCGGCAUUUGGAAACAAUAGACAUUGACAAAAUCACGAUCUGCCAACUGCAAAAGGCCACCCUGCUGGGAUCUGCACGCAUCAUCCGAAAAUACAUCACACAGUCAAACACUUCCCAAGUGUCUAGGACUGUGUGAUGUAUUUUUGGAUGAUGCGUGCAGAUCCCAGUAGGGUGGCCUUUUGCAGUUGACAGAUCAUAAUUUUGUCAAUGUCUGUUGUUCCAAAUGCCGGCUGAGAUCUUUUGGCACAGCACCCAGUGUGCCCAUCACCACUGGGACCACCUGCACUGGUUUCUGCCAGAGUCUUUGAAGUUCAAUCUUGAGGUCCUGAUAGCGGCUGAGUUUUUCCUGUUGUUUUUCGUCAAUGUGACUGUCACCUAGGAUGGCAACAUCAAUGAUCCAAAUCUUUUUCUUCUCCACAACUGUGAUGUCUGGUGUGUUGUGUUCCAGAACUUUGUCAGUCUGGAUUCGGAAGUCCCACAGUAUCUUUGCGUGCUCAUUUUCCAAUACUUUUGCAGGUUUGUGAUCCCACCAGUUCUUUGCUGCUGGCAGGUGGUACUUGAGGCAUAAGUUCCAAUGAAUCAUUUGGGCCACAUAGUUAUGUCUCUGUUUGUAGUCUGUCUGUGCGAUUUUCUUACAGCAGCUGAGGAUAUGACCAAUGGUUUCGUCAGCUUCCUUGCACAGUCUGCAUUUUGGGUCAUCAGCUGAUUUUUCGAUCUUGACCUUAAUUGCAUUUGUUCUGAUGGCUUGCUCCUGGGCUGCAAACCUUCAAAUCAUUUUUUUUCUUCCUAAUGCAAACCUAUCAUGGGGCUAAGAAUGUGUGAAUUGCCCAAGGGCCUACAGUGGCUUUCCAUGGUCAAGCAGGAAACUGAAGUGUUCAAACCAUUUCACAAUGCUGGCUUCCUAGUCUUCCAUUUUUCACAAUCAAGAUUUCUCUCUCUCUCUCUCUCUCUCUCUCUCUCUCGCUCGCUCGCUCGCUCUCGUUCUCUCGCUCGCUCGCUUGCUCGCUCUCGUUCUCUCUCUCUCUCUCUCUCUCUCUCUCUCUCUCUCACACACACACACACACACGUACAAACAUUGUCCAACCCUUGCAAACUCUUUCAGAAAACUCACCACUUUUUAGCAAUUCCCUUCAGGUGGAAACGAAAGCAAGAUGAACCAUCAGAUGCCCACUUUCUAACUAUGAUUUUAUAGCUAAUGCUUCCUUUGCAGGACAGGCUUGUUCACAGAGGGAGAGCAUCGCUUUUUUGUAUUUAUCCCCCAUCUCAUUUGUGUUCUCAGACAGAGGGG